GCUGACGUGGCUCAGUCGGUAGAGCGCGUCCUUGGUAAGGACGAGGUCGCGGGUUCGAUUCCCGCCGUUAGCUCCA
rnacentral:tRNA from 1 species